rnacentral:rRNA from 1 species
GGUAUUUUGACCGUGCAAAGGUAGCGCAAUCACUUGUCUUUUAAAUGAAGACCUGUAUGAAUGGCAUUACGAGGGCUUGACUGUCUCCUCCCUCCAGUCAAUGAAAUUGAUCUCCCCGUGCAGAAGCGGGGAUACUAACAUAAGACGAGAAGACCCUGUGGAGCUUUAAAUUAAGAGUAGACCCUGUCAAUGAUAACCCCACAAAAAGAAUCAAACCAAAGGGAUUACUACUCUAAUAUUUUUGGUUGGGGCGACCACGGGGGAAAAGAAGCCCCCACGAGGACUAGGAAAAACUUCCUGAAACUAAGAGCCACAGCUCUAAGAAACAGAAUUUCUGACCUAACAGAUCCGGCAACCAAGCCGAUCAACGGACCGAGUUACCCCAGGGAUAACAGCGCAAUCCCCUCUCAGAGCCCCUAUCGACGAGGGGGUUUACGACCUCGAUGUUGGAUCAGGACAUCCUAAUGGUGCAACCGCUAUUAAGGGUUCGUUUGUU